UUGAAAAGAUUCAUUAUCUGAAAAACCCCAGGUCCCGAGCAUUGUGCAUAACAGGUCCCAUACCUGUAUCAUAAAUAAGUCACUGAUUUACAGACUUGUGUAAUACUGUAAGUGUAGUGGCAGUUUUCAUGAACAGAAAAAAGGAUUUUCAUAAAAACUAACUUGACUUCCAUGCAAGUAGAAGUAUACUGGUUACUGUAUAAUCUGCCGUUGCUAAUCACACUUCUUACAGAACACUUACCUAGAAGAGUCAGACAGGAUAGUGACCAGCCUUUAACCUUGUACAACCGACAGGUGCUUUUAUAUCUUUCAUUAAUUAUCCCUUUCACUUUCUGUUGUUAUUCCAUUGGCUGGAAAUAUAUCAAGUUUUUGGUUCCCGUUUUAUGCAAGUGAUUCAUAAAAAAAUAUUUUUUUCACAGACAUAGCUGAUUCCAAUCAAUAAUCAUGCACUUGUCUUGUUAAUCUUAUCCUUAUUGUCUUGGUCUAUGUCACACUAUGUGACCUGACUGAAUCCAGACCACUAGACUAUUUACAACCCACCUUAAUUACUUUUAUUAUCUUUAAAAGUCAUCUCUGUCUAUCUUUAACUUUCUAAAUUAUUGCCAUUAAACCCCUUUUCAUUGAUCUAACAGUAUAAAUAAUGUGCCUUUUUAACUUUCAUUUGUAUUUUGCCUGAAGAAGGGGCCUGUGUGCUAUGAAAGCUUGCAAUUGUUACUUAUUAAGUUAGCCAAUAAAAGGUAUCACAAACUUUAAAAUUUUUUGCACAGCUGAUUCUACAAAUUGAAAUGAAACCAUGAUACUCUGUCAAACAAUUUCCCUUAGGCUUACAGUGUAUUGCAACCUCCUUGUUCCAUUAUAAAGACAUGGACCUCCCUCCAUCAAAGUCAUCUAAUCAACAUCAAGCCCAUCAAGGAUGGUGGUUGGGAUGGUGGGUGGGUAACAAGGAAAUCUGCUAUUUGCAAAACCAUAUAUCGAUGCAAGCUAGGAUGAAACCAAGAGGAACCUCUUCACAGAAACAGACUCGUGCUAAGAAGGUCACGACGGUUGUGGUUAUGCCCCUCUGCACCUGUUUCCUGAAGACGACUGCUACAUUAAACCGCAUAACAUAUUUUUGUAGUUUGUACUUUUCCAUUUGAAGCUAUAUAGCAAAAACGCAAGCUUACGGGGGUGUCAUAACCCCCACUUAGCCUAUAUAACCUUUGUGUGCCUUAGAAUAAAGCAGAGAGAAGCAUUUUGUAUACUGAA